UUUCGUUCCUAUAAUGCUGUUAUAUGAUUACAUUCAUAUACGACAAUAGUAUUUUAAUAAUAAUAAAACCGAGAUUCCACCUGUUUUGGUGGUGGGAAAAUAUUCUAAUGUGUAUUUACAAUUGUUAAAACUUCCGUUUAAAAUGUAAAAAUGUAAAAAAUAAAAAAAACUAUAGCACAUCUCAUAGAAGUAUACAUCAUAGGAUUGUAAAAAAUAAAUUCAGGGACACUAUCAUCUACAUUGCAGGUGUUAACAAGUAAUGUGUGUAUUUUUUCCUAAAACUGAACAAAUCGUCAAAUCGUUUCUUUGUUCAACAAUAAUAGUUUCUGUUUGCGUUGAGGCAUCUUUUUAACCAAUACGUUUCGUUAAUUUAUACGUCAUAAUUUUUUCUAUUAUAUUGAUCAAUUGGUCAGGGUAGUAGAACAAACAUCUAAGACAUAAAUACUGCACACAAUUCGCGUUUGUUAAACGUUAAGUAAACCCAGACACGGCAACAUGUGGUUUAUUGAAUAGUAUUGUUACACAACGUACACAUGUCACAGUAAUAAUUGAUAAUAAAAGUAGUUUUUCGGUCAUUCAUAUGGAAUUUUUACGCAUUUGAGAAUACGCGAACGUAAAAAAGAGUUAUUUUAUACUUUGGCGGUCAAUUUCUUAUAGAUGUGAAGUUAUAGAAAAACGUGUUUUUAAAAAUAAGAAAUUGGUUAUAUAUACGCUGUGGUAACAAUUUACUUAAAAUUUACUUUUUCUCAUCAGUUAAUGACAACAUCAAGUUUUUAAUUUAUGUAGCGUGGAAAGUUUUAAUUGGACUCUUAAUAGAAAAGAAAAUAUAUAAAUAUACUUUAAAUAUAUUACUGCAAUAUCACAAUUUUUGGUAAAACAUUUUCAACACUAAAUAUUAUGAUACAGUUGACAAUGUACUUGAACAUGAAGAGGAAGUCACACAUUUGAGAAACCUCUUAAUAUUAUUAAGUUAUUAUUCUUAGGUUUUUAAGUCGCGGCACCAAUUCCUUUUGAGGCGUCUUGUAGGGUUCCCAGGAAGUGUUAAAGAAGCUAAAUCGUGUAUUAGUUGGUUGGGAAUAUCUUGUAACUUGGCGUGAAAAAUAUAAUGACAUGGGUCUCCUAUAGCUCUUUUAAAAGAAAACUUGUUUUCUAUACAUGGUGACUUUGUUACAAUCGUUGGCGACUAGUGAAGUUAAUGGGAAAUAAGAGAAAAAAGACAAGACGCAAAUUGAAUAUACAUAUACAUUUUUUGUUGUAAUAGUUUAAAUAUUAUUUAAUUAUUAAGAAAUAAUGUUUAAGAAUUUAUAGAGGAAAAACUUUUAUUUUUUUUUUAUAUAGUAUAUCUUAAUGCUGUUGUUUCUAAGUUUAAAUGAAUUAGUUUUUUAAAAUGUUCUUUUCAUACUCCUACAGUAUCAAUACGUACAUUUUCAAAAAUUUACAUUCCUUUCUGUAAA